rnacentral:lncRNA from 1 species
UAUCUCCCCCCACACACACACACACAGAAGGCUGAGGCAAGAAGAUCCUUUAAGGCCUGGAGUUUGAGCUCAGCCUGUGUGACAUUUCGCCUCUGAUAAACAAACACGACUCACGGAAGCCUUCUGAAUUAGCAUUGUGAUGUAAUUCUCUAUCUCGCUCUGCCCACGUUUCUUGGUCAGUUCUUCCCUAGAACUUCAGCCUCCAGUGUUCUUCAGGGCCAGCAUGCCAGAGCACAGAAAGCCCACUGAUAAAGCAGCCUCAGUGUGAGAAGCUGGGGUUAGACCAAAGGCUCUCAACAAGUCGGGAGGCUUUUAAAACCGCUGCUGAAGGAUUGCAUUCUUGGGACACUGGAAAAGCAUGCGCCACCAUCGGAAAGCCUCUUAUGUCUUACAUAGGCUGGUUUACACUGUCCUUCCACUGAUGCAACCAGGGCUCUGCUGAUAGGAACACAAAGCUACAAAAGCCUGUAUUUAAGCAUCUUCUGCUCCUUAACAUUGCUCUUCAUGAAAGAGCCCAAUCUUUAGGCACCUCAUGAAAUGCCAUGACUCUGUAAAUACAGAACUUGUUGUACCUGUAUAUCGUUGGGCACUACUUCUUGUCAUAGUAAAUAAAGAACAAGCAAACAAACAAAUUCCCGAAGCCAUCAUUAACGGAGCAUGUAGCUCUCAACCCUGAUUUCAAUCUUUG